rnacentral:lncRNA from 1 species
AUGCUCUGUUGUGAGGACGUGAAGAAAGUUGUGAUAUUACGACAUGGAGUAUCCACACGUGCAUCUGCAGCGGAAGAACUGCUUGGUGAGUCCAUCCAAAAUCCUGCUCCCGAUGAACAGAGGGCUGGUGUUUGCAGAACAAGAAAGCACAUAAUAACACUUGGAAAGCACACAAGCACUCAUGGCCCAGCUCCGAGUGAGGCGACGUUGAAGCACAAAGUAGGCAAAUCUGAAAUUGUUUGGAGACUUUUCAGAGCUUCUUGUUAUCUCGUUUGUGCAUUUAAUGAUUAUUGUGAGUACACGCAUCAAGGGUUUUUGAGGUUUGGAUGCUGGCAGCGGUUGGAGGGACAGGCCUACCUGCAGCGCAGCGCAGGCACUCAGCUGCCAGAUGCCUUGGUGUGCCAGGGAGGGAGCUCUGCUAAAUGGGGGACAAAGCGGGUGCAUGAGCAGUGCAGAGGCCAGCAGCGUGUCUGCCCCCAGCCACUUAAUGCAAAGCAAAACGCGCUGGUGGAUGAAGACAUCCAGAGAAGGCAGAGUGCUCCCUGCCUGCGAGGGAGUCCUUAUGGCAGCAAUCCUUUUCUGGAGAGGGAAGCCAUCUGUCAGAACAGCAUCUUGAGCUCUCUGCUGAGCGAGACAGGGGAAGGAGGAUCUGAAUCUAUCAGUGGUAGGCGUUAA